UACGUAGGGUGCGAGCGUUGUCCGGAAUUAUUGGGCGUAAAGAGCUCGUAGGCGGUGUGUCACGUCGGCCGUGAAAACCUGCAGCUUAACUGUGGGCGUGCGGUCGAUACGGGCAUCACUGGAGUUCGGCAGGGGAGACUGGAAUUCCUGGUGUAGCGGUGAAAUGCGCAGAUAUCAGGAGGAACACCGGUGGCGAAGGCAGAUCUCUGGGCCUUACCUGACGCUCAGGUGCGAAAGCUAGGGGAGCGAACAGG
rnacentral:rRNA from 1 species